rnacentral:rRNA from 1 species
CCUACGGGUGGCUGCAGUGGGGGAUAUUGCACAAUGGGGGCAACCCUGAUGCAGCGACGCCGCGUGGAUGAAGAAGCGUCUCGGCGCGUAAAGCUCUGUUAGCAGGGAAGAAAACGACGGUACCCGAAGCAGACGCCCCGGCUAACACCGUGCCAGCAGCCGCGGUAAUACGGAGGGGGCAAGCGUUAUCCGGAUUUAUUGGGUGUAAUGGGGGCGUAGACGGCGAGGCAAGCCAGGAGUGAAAGCCCGGGGUCGAACCCCGGAACUGCUCUUGGAACUGCGUGGCUGGAGGGCAGUCGGGGCAGGCGGAAUGCCUGGUGUAGCGGUGAAAUGCGUAGAGAUCAGGAGGAACACCGGUGGCGAAGGCGGCCUGCUGGACUGCAACUGACGUUGAGGCCCGAAAGCGUGGGGAGCAAACAGGAUUAGAUACCCUUGUAGUC